CAGCGUUUUGGGUCAUGGCACGUUGUGGGACGACCCACCUGGGAUGCCCCAUGUAAUUGGGACGCCCCUCUGAGACUUGAGACCAAAAUAGAAAGGACUUUUUGUCUGGCCAACUGGGAUGCCUCAUGAGAUGCCUCAAUGCCAGUGGGAUGCCCUAUUUCUGCAAGCACGCACAGCAGCUAGUUUUCAGUCCAUUUUUGAUGCAUU
rnacentral:lncRNA from 1 species